rnacentral:rRNA from 1 species
UACAGAGGUCUCAAGCGUUGUUCGGAUUCAUUGGGCGUAAAGGGUGUGUAGGUGGCGCCGUAAGUCAGGUGUGAAAUUUCGGAGCUCAACUCCGAAACUGCAUUUGAUACUUGCGGUGCUUGAGGACUGGAGAGGAGACUGGAAUUUACGGUGUAGCAGUGAAAAUGCGUAGAUAUCGUAAGGAAGACCAGUGGCGAAGGCGGGUCUCUGGACAGUUCCUGACACUGAGACACGAAGGCCAGGGGAGCAAAACGGG